rnacentral:piRNA from 1 species
UNGCUUUGCUGAGGUGUCGGGGUGUG